AAAGCUACAAGCUUGAGUCGGAAAUUUUGUCUAAUUCCCUCACAUUUGACGCGAAUUAAGGCUUAAUGGAUGAACUUUGCGGGGUAAUGUUUUGUUUAAAGUAUUUGGAAGCAAAUUUAAGGAAUUGAAGAUAAUCUAU